AGCGAACGCUGGCGGCAGGCCUAACACAUGCAAGUCGAACGAAGUCUUCGGACUUAGUGGCGGACGGGUGAGUAACACGUGGGAACGUACCUUUUGGUUCGGAACAACUCAGGGAAACUUGAGCUAAUACCGGAUGAGCCCUUAGGGGGAAAGAUUUAUCGCCGAAAGAGCGGCCCGCGUUAGAUUAGCUAGUUGGUGAGGUAAAGGCUCACCAAGGCUACGAUCUAUAGCUGGUCUGAGAGGAUGGUCAGCCACACUGGGACUGAGACACGGCCCAGACUCCUACGGGAGGCAGCAGUGGGGAAUCUUGCGCAAUGGGCGAAAGCCUGACGCAGCCAUGCCGCGUGAAUGGUGAAGGUCUUAGGAUUGUAAAAUUCUUUUACCAGGGACGAUAAUGACGGUACCUGGAGAAAAAGCCCCGGCUAACUUCGUGCCAGCCGCCGCAGUAACAC
rnacentral:rRNA from 1 species